GACAGAGGGUGCAAACGUUGCUCGGAAUUACUGGGCGUAAAGCGCGUGUAGGCGGUCUCGCGAGUCGGGUGUGAAAGCCCGGGGCUCAACCCCGGACGUGCAUUCGAUACUACGAGGCUGGAGUACUGUAGAGGAGAGCGGAAUUCCCGGUGUAGAGGUGAAAUUCGUAGAUAUCGGGAGGAACACCAGUGGCGAAGGCGGCUCUCUGGACAGUGACUGACGCUGAGACGCGAAAGCGUGGGUAGCAAACAGG
rnacentral:rRNA from 1 species